rnacentral:rRNA from 1 species
AGCGAACGCUGGCGGCGUGCCUAACACAUGCAAGUCGAACGUGAAAGGGAGCAAUCCCAAGUAAAGUGGCGUACGGGUGAGUAACACGUAGGUAAUCUACCCCAGAAUCUGGAAUAACCGGCCGAAAGGCUGGCUAAUACUGGAUAGAGCGACGGAAUCCGUAAUUGGGUUUUUCGGGAAAGGGAGCCUGUAAAAAGGCCUUCGUUCUGGGAUGAGCCUGCGUCCCAUCAGCUAGUUGGUGAGGUAAAAGCUUACCAAGGCAAUGACGGGUAGCUGGUCUGAGAGGACGAUCAGCCACACUGGGACUGAAACACGGUCCAGGCUCCUACGGGAGGGAGCAAGGGGGAAACUUGCGCAAUGGGCGAAAGUCUGGCGCAAGAACGCCGCGUGAGGGGAGAAGGCCCUCGGGUUGUAAAGCUCCGUCGGGUGGGACGAAAAUGCUUGGAGUUCACAGCUCCAGGAACUGACGGUACCACUAAAGGAAGCACCGGCUAACUCCGUG